UUUGAUCAUGGCUCAGAUUGAACGCUGGCGGCAUGCCUUACACAUGCAAGUCGAACGGCAGCACGGGAGCAAUCCUGGUGGCGAGUGGCGAACGGGUGAGUAAUAUAUCGGAACGUGCCCAGUCGUGGGGGAUAACGUAGCGAAAGCUACGCUAAUACCGCAUACGAUCUAUGGAUGAAAGCGGGGGAUCGCAAGACCUCGCGCGAUUGGAGCGGCCGAUAUCAGAUUAGGUAGUUGGUGAGGUAAAGGCUCACCAAGCCGACGAUCUGUAGCUGGUCUGAGAGGACGACCAGCCACACUGGGACUGAGACACGGCCCAGACUCCUACGGGAGGCAGCAGUGGGGAAUUUUGGACAAUGGGCGCAAGCCUGAUCCAGCAAUGCCGCGUGCAGGAUGAAGGCCUUCGGGUUGUAAACUGCUUUUGUACGGAACGAAACGGUGAGCUCUAAUACAGUUUGCUAAUGACGGUACCGUAAGAAUAAGCACCGGCUAACUACGUGCCAGCAGCCGCGGUAAUACGUAGGGUGCGAGCGUUAAUCGGAAUUACUGGGCGUAAAGCGUGCGCAGGCGGUGAUGUAAGACAGAUGUGAAAUGCCCGGGCUCAACCUGGGACCUGCAUUUGUGACUGCAUCGCUAGAGUACGGUAGAGGGGGAUGGAAUUCCGCGUGUAGCAGUGAAAUGCGUAGAUAUGCGGAGGAACACCGAUGGCGAAGGCAAUCCCCUGGACCUGUACUGACGCUCAUGCACGAAAGCGUGGGGGGCAAACAGGAUUAGAUACCCUGGUAGUCCACGCCCUAAACGAUGUCAACUGGUUGUUGGGUCUUCACUGACUCAGUAACGAAGCUAACGCGUGAAGUUGACCGCCUGGGGAGUACAGCCGCAAGGUUGAACUCAANGAAUUGACGGGGACCCGCACAGCGGUGGAUGAUGUGGUUU
rnacentral:rRNA from 1 species